CAGCAGCCGCGGUAAUACGAAGGGUGCAAGCGUUAAUCGGAAUUACUGGGCGUAAAGCGUGCGUAGGUGGUGGUUUAAGUCCGUUGUGAAAGCCCUGGGCUCAACCUGGGAAUUGCAGUGGAUACUGGGUCACUAGAGUGUGGUAGAGGAUAGUGGAAUUUCCGGUGUAGCAGUGAAAUGCGUAGAGAUCGGAAGGAACAUCUGUGGCGAAGGCGACUAUCUGGGCCAACACCGACACUGAGGCACGAAAGCGUGGGGAGCAAACAGGAUUAGAUACCCCGGUAGUCCCUGUCUCUUAUAC
rnacentral:rRNA from 1 species